ensembl:lincRNA RIKEN cDNA 4930555A03 gene
AGUUCCAUGAGGAGGAAGGGAGCAUGGGGUGAGCUGAGGGCAGAAGGCUUUUGUUCCAAAGCCCCUCUGACCUGAAUACACACACUCACAGUGUGCCCUGAAUCUGGCUCAGAAGCGGUCCCUCCAAAGAAGUAAGCCUUCACACUGCCAAGCAGAGUAAUUCCUCAGAAUUGGUCCACAUUGGCCUAGAGACAUCGUCUUUAUAGGCAUGGAGUGGGGUUUCUGCAGCCUCCAGUCAAUUCCAACUGAUUUCAAUUGCUAAAGUUAAAAGUUGCCAUUGCAGUUACUGUCAGACCAAACUAACCCCUGAGAACUCUCCACAUUUGUAAAACGGACGGAAAGGUUCAGUGGCGUUUCCCACCUGGAACAGGACUAGGUAAUGCUUUGAACAUGAAGAGGUAUUAAUGGCCACUUGCCCUUUAAACCACAGAGGGACAGCUGUGCACAGUGACCUUCUAGCCCAACUUGAGAGAAGCAGGAAAUGGGGUCUGAGGCUGAAGGUUCAGAUGAUAAACUGUCCCUCAGGAAGAUAACGAAAUGCUUCAUCCUAUGGUGGCCCAAGACACCUCUUAAAAUCUAAGGAAAUAGUUUCCCUUUUAAAAAGCUGCUGUGUGGAAAUAACAAGUGGGAUCUUUUCCUGCUGUUUGUCUCUGCCUGAAUCCUGACAUAUUUUCUCUCACAGAUGUCAAACUUUAGCUAAAAGUGUAUAAAUGAUAUUUCUUUUGAUAGUCCUGAAACAUAAACUACUGUCUCCUCCAACUCUUUCUAAGUUCCACAAUGUUUCCAUGGUUUCAUUCUAUUACAAACUUUGAAACUUUAAUAAUAUUAAGGAAAUUCAUUUACCACAUGAGUCUAUCAGCUUCACUCUGUUCUCACAUAUGUCCCCACAUGUGGCUGAACAUGGAAACUCUAAAUGACUGGGGUAGCUGAGAGCCUUAGAAUACUAAGCCCUAGCUAGCACAGAGACCGUGUCUCUAAACAUCUGGAUUCAUUGCACAGUGUAUGCAAAUUGAUGCCAGCGUAUUUACGCAGGACUCAGUAUGCCCAGUAUACCAGGUAACUGGACCUAAAAUAUUCCACCUCUGUUUCUCUGUAAAUGAGAUUUUGAAAUACUUUUAACCAAUACUAGUGUCUGUAUCACUUCUGCCUCCUAGCGGACCUCCCCGGUGAGGAACCAUCAUGGGAAUGAGGAGAUAGGAAUGGCUGAAGGAAACGCCAAGAAGCUCUCCUUUGUGGAGUGAGGGGCCAGUGACGGUUCUGCUUCAACACCAGAGGGGGUGCAAUCCCCGCAGAAAAGGAACACUGUCUCUAAUGUUGCAAAAAGUAACCAGCAUGAAGUUAGCGAGAAGAAACCACUGUUGCUGCUGCUUAACACUGACCCCUACCUGCUUUAGACUUAGAUCCAGAAUGGAGCUAGCACAGUGACUUAUGUAACUCUUACUGGUUUAAGAGAAUGACGUAUAGACAAGAUGCUGCCUCCCAUGGAAAGGUUCCUAUGCAUCAAGCCACUCUAUUUCCCUGUCACUUCCCUAAAAUUAAUUUAUGUAAUUAUGCUGUCAAUGAAGUCCAGCAACUC